rnacentral:rRNA from 1 species
CCUACGGGAUGCAGCAGUGGGGAAUAUUGGGCAAUGGGCGCAAGCCUGACCCAGCAAAGCCGCGUGAAGGAAGAAGGCUUUCGGGUUGUUAACUUCUUUUGUCAGGGAAGAGUAGAAGACGGUACCUGACUAAGUCGCUCCGGCUAAAUCCGUGCAAGCAGCCGCGGUAAUACGUAUGGCGCAAGCGUUAUCCGGAUUUACUGGGUGGAAAGGGAGCGUAGGCGGGCCUGUAAGUUUGAUGUGAAAAUUUGGGGCUCAACCCCAAACGUGCAUUGGAAACUGCAGGGCUUGAGUGACGGAGAGGCAGGCGGAAUGCCUAGUGUAGCGGUGAAAUGCGUAGAUAUCAGGAGGAACACCAGUGGCGAAGGCGGCCUGCUGGACGGUAACUGACGCUGAGGCUCGAAAGCGUGGGGAGCAAACAGGAUUAGAGACCCUAGUAGUC